CCGGGCCGGAGACUACCAUUAUCAGGAUUCGACUAAGCCAUGCGAGUCAUUGCGCAAGCAAGGCGUACUGCUCAGUAACACGUAGUUAACCUACCCUUAGCUAGGGAAUACCCACGGGAAACUGUGGAUAAUACCCUAUAGGUGAUAAUGGCUGGAAUGCCUCUUCACCUAAAGAUUCGUCGGCUAAGGAUGGGACUGCGGGAGAUUAGCCUGUUGUUAGGAUAAAUGCCUAACAAAGCUAUAAUCUCUACGGGUCGUGAGAGCGAUAGCCCGGAGAUGCACUCUGAGACAUGAGUGCAGGCCCUACGGGGCGCAGCAGGCGCGAAACCUUUCCAAUGCACGAAAGUGUGAGAAGGGAAUCCUGAGUGGGUUCGCAUUAGCGGGCUCUUUUCUUAAGUCUAAAUAGCUUGAGGAAUAAGUGGUGGGUAAGACGGUUGCCAGCCGCCGCGGUAAUAACCGCGCCACGAGUGGUAGUCACGUUUAUUGGGCCUAGAGCGUCCGUAGCCGGCUUGAUGUGUCUUUGGUGAAAUCCUAUAGCAAACUAUAGGGCUUGCUGAAGAUACUAUCAGGCUUGGAGCCGGGAGAGGUUGAGGGUAUUUCAUGGGUAGGGGUAAAAUCCUUUAAUCCAUGAAGGACCACCUGUGGCGAAAGCGCUCAACCAGAACGGGCUCGACGGUGAGGGACGAAAGCUUGGGGAGCGACCGGGAUUAGAUACCCCGUUAGUCCAAGCCGUUAACGAUGCCCACUUGGUGUUACAGAUUCUUCGAGAAUCUGUAGUGCCGUAGCGAAGGUGUUAAGUGGGCCGCCUGGGGAGUACGACCGCAAGGUUGAAACUUAAGGGAAUUGGCGGGGGAGCACUACCAGGGGUGGAUGCUGCGGUUUAAUUGGAUUUGGAUUCAAC
rnacentral:rRNA from 1 species